rnacentral:rRNA from 1 species
UUAAGCAUAUCAAUAAGCGGAGGAAAAGAAACCAACAGGGAUUGCCCUAGUAACGGCGAGUGAAGCGGCAACAGCUCAAAUUUGAAAUCUGGCUUCGGCCCGAGUUGUAAUUUGCAGAGGAAGCUUUAGGCGCGGCACCUCCUGAGUCCCCUGGAACGGGGCGCCACAGAGGGUGAGAGCCCCGUAUAGUUGGAUGCCUAGCCUGUGUAAAGCUCCUUCGACGAGUCGAGUAGUUUGGGAAUGCUGCUCAAAAUGGGAGGUAAAUUUCUUCUAAAGCUAAAUACCGGCCAGAGACCGAUAGCGCACAAGUAGAGUGAUCGAAAGAUGAAAAGCACUUUGAAAAGAGGGUUAAAUAGCACGUGAAAUUGUUGAAAGGGAAGCGCUUGUGACCAGACUUGCGCCGGGCUGAUCAUCCGGUGUUCUCACCGGUGCACUCUGCCCGGCUCAGGCCAGCAUCGGUUCUCGCGGGGGGAUAAAGGCCCUGGGAACGUAGCUCCUCCGGGAGUGUUAUAGCCCGGGGCGCAAUGCCCUCGCGGGGACCGAGGUUCGCGCUCUGCAAGGAUGCUGGCGUAAUGGUCAUCAGCGACCCGUCUUGAAACACGGACCAAGGAGUCAAGGUUUUGCGCGAGUGUUUGGGUGUAAAACCCGCACGCGUAAUGAAAGUGAACGUAGGUGAGAGCUUCGGCGCAUCAUCGACCGAUCCUGAUGUUCUCGGAUGGAUUUGAGUAGGAGCGUUAAGCCUUGGACCCGAAAGAUGGUGAACUAUGCUUGGAUAGGGUGAAGCCAGAGGAAACUCUGGUGGAGGCUCGCAGCGGUUCUGACGUGCAAAUCGAUCGUCAAAUCUGAGCAUGGGGGCGAAAGACUAAUCGAACCAUCUAGUAGCUGGUUACCGCCGAA